CCAGAGUGGAAUUGAUGGCUGCUAAGCUCAUCAAUGGAGAUGAGUCAUCCGAGGCGGCCAGCCGCUUCAUCCCCCCCCCCCCCCCCCGGUCUGUCUGCCUGAAGUGGAGCAGAGUCAAAGUGCUCAGUUACUACCUGCCUCUCCGGUAGGUCAUGGAUUUAGAAGGCACACGGCAAAGUGGAAAACAUCCAGCAUGCACUUCACUUUACGGAUUGCGACACAUUUUAUGUUGAUGCUCUUCUGAUGGUUUUUUCGAGUGUUUGCACAGUCACCGGAGCCAAAAAGCCGCGUGUCAGUAUUCAGGUUGCACACCCUUGCUGGGUGUGUGGCUUCAAAACCUGUGAUGCAACAAUUUCCAUAUCCGUCUAAUUCUCAAAGGUCAGAAGCUGUUAGGCAGCCAGCAGUGGGCUGACGGCGGUUGGCUGAACAUGCAUCUGAUUCCAUUUGGGCUAGUUUCAGUUUCAGAGCCUCCCACCUUCCUGUCUCAUAAUCACUCCUACAGAUUCUUUUUUUUUGCAAAUCAGUCCCGGGCCCCCGGUUCAGUUCACGACGAGGACUUUCUGAUCAACAUGUCCCGGACCGAGAAUGGCCACGACGUGAACUGCACACAACACCGAAAGCCCGACAGGCUAUUCCUUCACCUCCACCACCUGCAAUAUAUCUGGGUGGUGACGGCUGUAUAAAUGCUAUCUUUAAAUCCUGCGGCGAGCAUGUUACCAUGACUGCUAGCCGGCUGCCAAGAGUUGUGUGAUCGCGCCGACGUAAGCAGGAGCGCAAUGUUCAGCGCUUUAUCACGUUCGUUUUCAUGUGCUUAUCAAGUCACUGCAACCACAAACACAUCCCAGUGCUACUUACAGGUCAUAAUGCCCUCUGCAUACCCCCCUCUGUGUGUGUGUGUGUGUGUGCGCGUGUGUUUACUCACUCGUGUUGGUGCAACAGAAAUGUUAAGAGCCCUCAUUAUCUCUAUGGAAAAUGAUUGGGGACCCGGGUUGUGUUGACAUGUCAACCUUCUCGUGUGCUAUCAGAACGCAUUGACGCUCCGAGACUCAACUGUGCUCUUAAGAAAACGAAAGCCCCGGACGGGUGGGGAGUUGGGGGGGGGGGCAUGCCAUGCAAUGUUCUUAUCGAGCCAGCAAAGGUGAGCAUGAGGAAGACGUGUGGGGACGCUAUGCUGCUGUCUGCAGCGUCCCUGACUGCCCACACGGAAGAACUAGCUGCCCACCGGACUCGUGUUGAGGCUGAAGGCUACACAGAAGAGCGCCAGUUAGCUUCUCUUCUGACCUCAGGACACAGUUUGCUGAACGAGGGCUUUCCCCUUUGGUUGAUCUCUAUGUUUAUCGUGCACACACACACACACACACACACACACACACACACCUCAUAUGUCUAUCGCAUGUGCCAGUACGAACCCCAAAGGCACUCAAAGGAGUGUGAAGAGAAACACUGCAAAUGAAUUGAAAGUUGCGCGUGCACUCUGAGUAGAACCUCACGUAUCUUUAAAUACGCAGACUGUAAAUCGAGCCUCUGUAGCUCACACACACACACACACACACACACACACACACACACACGCAGACACGCUAAUGAACACACAGGAAGCCCUGUAGUGACUCAAUGCCACAAUGAUUUAGGUUCAGAAUGGCACAGGAGCACUCAUGACUCAGAGUUUCCAUUGCGGCUCCCACUCUCCCACUGCAACUUUGCGUGUGUGUGCAGGUGUGUGUGUGUGUGUGUGUGUGUGUUUAUGGUGUGUGUGUGUAGCCGGUCUGCACAGUUCAUAGAACCACUACGCUCGCUCUGGGGCUUUACCGACCAAAGUGGAUCACAGCACGAUCUCCCUUUCUUUUUCUUUUUUUUUCCAGCCUACCUAAUGUGGUGCGUGCUCUAUAUUUGUGCAAUGUGUGUGUGUGUGUGUGUGUGUGUGUGUGUGUGUGUGAGAUAGCUCGAGGCUGCAUAAGAACCCGGGCCGGGAUAAAGCUUCAGAGACAAUAUGGCGGCACACUGCACAGAGCUUUUGAAAAGAGAAAUCUUUAUUCCCACUCUUACGGAGCCCCGGCUUUCAUGCUCGGACAUCGUCAUGUGACACACUGCAGCCAUCUGAACAUUAAACGGAUUCUCGGCUGCGGCUGCGCAACAAGCGACUUCAAAGUGCGCCGGUGCUUCGUCCCAGAGUCCUUCGGCUCAGACAUCAAACGCGUUAUCAGCGUAACUGAAAAGGACGGGAUUUUGCUCAUUGCGAAACACCUGCAGAAAGUAUCCCCGAAUUUGAGCCUUUGAUUCUCCUCUGAGAGCCGAAGGCGGCCCGGGCCACUGAGGCGCGUCGCUCCAGCAGAGGACCGGCACGUCCUCCCGUUGGCGUGGGUCACAUGCGCGCCUGACAUGAGGAUUUCACGCAGGGUUCGUCCUUUUCUGCAGUGAAAAGGGUUCAAAACGUUGCUUCACAGCAUUAAGGCCUUCGGGCCGGACCGCCGGGUCACAUGGUUUCCCGCAGGCCGGGGUCACGUGGCGUCGGGCCGCCGCUUACUGGAAGGCAGGAAGCGACGGUCUGCGGUGUCUCGCGCGUCUCGCUGGAGAUGCUAGCGGGCUCAUUUAUAAUGCAUUUACGGACGGGGGCCACAGGAAGGAUCUGAUGGGGGAAGUGCGAGAGCGAUUCCAUUCAUACGGACCGAGGGCAGAUGGACGUGUGACGGGGCGAUCAAUGAUUCUGCAGAUCAAGUCAGAAAAGUGUCGGCAAAAGGGUUUAGGGAUUCAGCGGAUAUAAAACAUCCAACUUCAACUAAGAAACUGUUAAGUAAAAACAAUAAAUAUUUGUAAAAAGGUCACUUUGCCUUUUCAGCUGUGUGUGUAUGUGUGUGUGUGUGUGUGCACUUCAUAACUGUAACUAGUAAGCAAGCCGGUCUUACCUCCUUAUUCCACUGCGUGCACACACACACACACACACACACACACACACACACACACAUCUUGACUCGCUGCCUGGGAAUCUUUCCACAAGUUGGUCACAAACACAAACACACCCAGUCUAAAAAAAAAAGUCCUGAUGCAAAGUUCUGCAGUCGUUUGCCUCAUCCCGUCUUUCCAGCGGUACGUCUGUUGUUGUGGCGAUGAGCAGAAACAUGACGCAAGGCCAAGGCGGAGUGAGGAACAUGUGG
ensembl:lncRNA